GAAAAUCAUACUUUGAACACUUUUUGGAGUCUCAAAGUUGGCUUUAUAAGUUAGCACCAAACCUGUGUUCAGUGCAAGUAGGAAAGCAUGAAUUUGGCAUGUUAGUGCUUUGUUUUUUUAAGACAUAACAGGGAAAAUGCUAUAACCAUUCUAACAGCCGAUGAGGCUUGCUUUUACAAAAGGAUCUUGUGAUCGAGCAAGGUAAGAUGGUUUUAAUCAUUUAGUCAUUACAGAAAAAAAAAUUUUUUAAGGCAGGAUCUGUUUAAUCUGAGUUUGAACUCACCAUCCUUGUGCCUCAGCCUUCCCAGUGGUGAGAUCACUUCUGACUAAACGGUGAUGUGAAGAUUGGAGGUUGUUUGCUGUGGUUCCCGCUUUCCUGGCUUUCGCCCAGCAGUACUGACUUUAGUUCUCCCAGCAGAGAACUGGAACAGUCACCACACUCUACAGGUAAUUGUCUCUCACAUGCUUGAUUAACUGGGAUCUUGAACCUUUCUUCCCACUGACUGCUUCCCAAGGCUGCUGAGGAAUGAUGACAAUAAAAGGCCGAAUUGCAGUGUCUCCAUCAACAGUUUGCUCUCCGUGUGGGCACACGAUGACAAAACCUCCUGAAGCGAGUCACUGUCUGACCUCAGUAGUGCCAGUGUGGAAGCUUCCUGCCUGUGCUGAACUUCCCAAGUGUGGGGUGGGGGUGGGGGUGGCAGGAAAGCCUUCCUAUGCUAAGAAAAACAAUCAGGGUCUUAGAUUAGCUACGCUGACCAAGCAGUGUCAGUGUAACUUUAGAACACUUAUCAAAUCAAGGACUGCUAGAAUUGUAAACGCAACAGUAGCCCUUCUAGAACAAGAUAGCUAAAUAUGGCAGCAAUUUCCUUGGAGAAAGUUGAUGUUGUUUGCUCAAGAAAGGACGAAGUUUAAUCAGUGUGUAUCUAUUAUUAUCGAGAACUUGAGGACAUUUAGACAAAAGCAGUUUUACAGAUCAGGAAAACACUGUUCCACCAUGUCUGUCCUAAGCACCAGAUGUGGGCCUGAAGUAAAAUCAAUGCGGUAAAAUACAAUGUUGUGCUUUUAUGAUUCAACACAUUAGAAAAGCUACCUUUGCCUUUUCCAGCUCA
rnacentral:lncRNA from 1 species